rnacentral:rRNA from 1 species
AUGGCUUACUAUUCAGAUCAUCAGGCUUAUGCGAGCAACACUACAAACAGCAUGGAAAGUAUUCAAGAACUGAUAAGUAAGAUUUCCCAUCAAUUAGAUGAUUUAGCUCAGCAGCGAGGAGUAGUUUUUGAGGAUAGGCCUAGUUCUUAUUAUCCUUAUUCCGGAGGCAAUCCUUAUGUUGCUCCUACAUGCCAUAUUUGUGGAUUUCAGGGCCAUUUGCCCGCUGAAUGUCAGCGUGGUUACUCUCACACUCCAGAUUGUUUUGGCAUGAGCUUCGCUCAAGAGCAUAGCUCAUACCAAAACAAUUACUCACAUGGGUGGCCUGAAAACCCGAAUAUGUCAUAUAGGAGCAACAACCCUGAGAUCUCACUGUUUGCCUCUAGUUAUCCAAUGCAGGGAUUUAGGUAUGAAGAGGAGAGCCACAACUAUGCUCCACAACAGUCGUAUUUAGCUCCUAUUCAUAUACCUCAGCACCAGGAGAUGUUGCCAAUGGAGUUAAAUGGUCCUCCAUUUGGUCAACCAACACCUCAAGUGCCUACUCAAGAUGAGUUCGAUGACAUAGACAAGCUCGCACUUUUGAGUCUCGGGUUCACUUGGAGUGCCGAGGAUGAUCCUAUUAGGAAGGUUAUACUAGAUGAAAUGAAGAAGAUCAAGAGUGGGAAUGAGCUAGUGGAAGAAGUAAAGAAGAUUGAGAAGAACAUCAACGCUGGCAGUACUAUUUCUUCACAGCUUGAGCUGAGUAAUUCUGGGAUUCCCCUUGAUACAUGUGAGGUUCCAAUACCGUCACAUCCAGCUGAGCAAGAUAGCAAGUGCCUUGAGCAUGAGAUACCCCAGAUUGAAGAAGAUGAACUAGAAGACAAGGAACAAGAUGAUCAAGAUCUGCAAUUCCCAAGUGAUCAAGUUGAAGACUCGUCAUCUACUACUCCUGAAGAAGUACAAGAAGCUGCUGUAGAUGAAGAUGAAGAACCUGAGAUUCAUUGGCCUAUUGUCAUACAUGAGUGUGAUGUGUCAGGUUUACCCAAUCCUCUUGAUGACAUGCUCCCUUGUGAUUUCUUUGCUUCUAACUUGCAUUGCAUGAUGCCAUCACUUAAGGUAGAUUUGAAAAACUAUUUGCUUGGACAUGAUCAUACACACCCUGUUAGUGUCAUUACUCUCAUUUGUGAUGAUCACAGUUACUUUCCUCGUGCUAGUUCUAUGCUUAAUGAAACAUAUCAUUCCCAUGAUAGUCUGGAGCUUAAUGAUACAUAUCAUCCUCAUGUUAGCAUUGAGCUUACUGAUUUCUACCAUCCUAAACAUGUGCUUUAUAGCUAUGCUUAUGUAAUUGGAUAUUCGAUUGAUGACUUGGAGGGUAUUAUCCCUACCACUUGCAUUGUCUCUUUCAUUGAGUGCUCUUUCAGGUUCUUGCUUGUGCACGAUCCACUACAUGCUUGCCAAGUUCGAGAUGACAUUCCCUGGGACCCUGGUGGACCUAUGGCAUGGGGAUGA